rnacentral:lncRNA from 1 species
UUGGGCCGCGGCCUGCGCGGGGUGGUCGUUCGCCUGUGGGGCCGCGUGGGCCCGAGCUGACCUUCGCGUCCGCGCGGAUGUCCGCCCCGUCACGCGCUCACGCUCCGCGCGGGGAGCCUGCAGGUUGCGGCGCUGCGAGGGCGGGGCCCGCCCCUGCUCGUCCGAGCGAGGAUGCCCGAGAGUAAUAACGCUGCACGCGGAAGGGAGGCGGCGGCGGCCCGAAGACCUGGGGCGAGCCGGGGUCAGGGGCCAGGGGCAGAGGCCCGCGGGGACUGGAGAGGGACCAGGAGCAGAGCCGGCCCAGUCCUGGGGGGGUGCCCUCAGGGUCAUCACCCCAUCGUACAGAGGUGGGGUGCAGGCAGGUCUCCCUGCUGUGGGGUGCCCUCAGGGUCAUCACCCCAUCGUACACAGAGUUGGGUGCAGGCAGGUCUCCCUGCUGUGGGGUGCCCUCAGGGUCAUCACCCCAUCGUACAGAGGUGGGGCGCAGGCAGGUCUCCCUGCUGUGGGGUGCCCUCAGGGUCAUCACCCCAUCGUACAGAGGUGGGGUGCAGGCAGGUCUCCCUGCUGUGGGGUGCCCUCAGGGUCCUCACCCCAUCGUACACAGAGUUGGGUGCAGGCAGGUCUCCCUGCUGUGGGGUGCCCUCAGGGUCAUCACCCCAUCGUACAGAGGUGGGGUGCAGGCAGGUCUCCCUGCUGUGGGGUGCCCUCAGGGUCAUCACCCCAUCGUACAGAGGUGGGGUGCAGGCAGGUCUCCCUGCUGUGGGGUGCCCUCAGGGUCAUCACCCCAUCGUACAGAGGUGGGGUGCAGGCAGGUCUCCCUGCUGUGGGGUGCCCUCAGGGUCAUCACCCCAUCGUACAGAGGUGGGGUGCAGGCAGGUCUCCCUGCUGUGGGGUGCCCUCAGGGUCCUCACCCCAUUGUACACAGAGUUGGGUGCAGGCAGGUCUCCCUGCUGUGGGGGGCCCUCAGGGUCAUCACCCCAUCGUACAGAGGUGGGGUGCAGGCAGGUCUCCCUGCUGUGGGGUGCCCUCAGGGUCAUCACCCCAUCGUACACAGGUGGGGUGCAGGCAGGUCUCCCUGCUGUGGGGUGCCCUCAGGGUCAUCACCCCAUCGUACACAGAGUUGGGUGCAGGCAGGUCUCCCUGCUGUGGGGUGCCCUCAGGGUCAUCACCCCAUCGUACACAGAGUUGGGUGCAGGCAGGUCUCCCUGCUGUGGGGUGCCCUCAGGGUCAUCACCCCAUCGUACACAGAGGUGGGUGCAGGCAGGUCUCUCUGCUGUGGGGGUGCCCUUGCUGUCAUCACCCCAUCGUAGACACAGGUGGGUGCAGGCAGGUCUCCUUACUCUUGGGGUGCCCUCGCUGUCAUCACCCCCAUCAUAGACAGAGGUGGGGCACAGGUCUCACUCAAGGCCCCACACGGAGUAAAAUGGGGACAUCAGGGGUGGGGCGUGUUGUGAUGUGUGGCGUUGGAGGUGACAGGAUAUGUCAGGUUUGCCAUUCCAGCCGCACAAUUCAGUGGCCCUGGGUGUUUUCCCAGUUACACAGCUGUCACCACUCUCUACCCACAGGGGAUUUCGUCCUCCCAAGUUGGGAGUCCACACCAGCUCAGCAGUAACUCCCUACUUCCCCAGCCCCUGGCACCCACCACUUUGGACUCAUUUGACUGCUCUGGGGUCCCGACUGGAUGCAGACGUGGAAGCAGACUCUAUUUACCCUCUCGGACAUUCUCUCCAUAUCCUGGCGUAUAUCAGAAUUUCAUUCCCUUUUAAAGCUGAAUAAUGGGGCAGCCCGGGUGGCUCAGCAGUUUAGCGCCGCCUUCAGCCCCGGGCCUGAUCCCAGGGUCCUGGGAUCGAGUCCCACAUCAGGCUCCCUGCAUGGAGCCUGCUUCUCUCUCUGCCUGUGUCUUUGCCUCUCUCUCUCUCU